rnacentral:rRNA from 1 species
UGCCAGCAGCCGCGGUAAUACGGAGGGUCCAAGCGUUAUCCGGAUUCAUUGGGUUUAAAGGGUCCGUAGGCGGAUUUUUAAGUCAGUGGUGAAAGCCUGCAGCUCAACUGCAGAACUGCCAUUGAUACUGGAAAUCUUGAGUGUAUUGGAAGUGGGCGGAAUGUGUCAUGUAGCGGUGAAAUGCAUAGAUAUGACACAGAACACCGAUUGCGAAGGCAGCUCACUACACUACAACUGACGCUGAGGGACGAAAGCGUGGGGAGCGAACAGGAUUAGAUA